GGGGGGACGCAGUAGGAUAGGCGAAGCGUGCUGUUGGAGUGCACGUCCAAGCAGUAAGGCUGAGUGUUAGGCAAAUCCGGCACUCGUUAGGCUGAGCUGUGAUGGGGAGAGGAAAUUGUUUCCUCGAGUCGUUGAUUUCACACUGCCGAGAAAAGCCUCUAGAUAGAUAACAGGUGCCCGUACCGCAAACCGACACAGGUAGUCAAGAUGAGAAUUCUAAGGUGAGCGAGCGAACUCUCGUUAAGGAACUCGGCAAAAUGACCCCGUAACUUCGGGAGAAGGGGUGCUCUUUAGGGUUCACGCCCAGAAGAGCCGCAGUGAAUAGGCCCAAGCGACUGUUUAUCAAAAACACAGGUCUCUGCUAAACCGUAAGGUGAUGUAUAGGGGCUGACGCCUGCCCGGUGCUGGAAGGUUAAGAGGAGUGGUUAGCUUCUGCGAAGCCACGAAUCGAAGCCCCAGUAAACGGCGGCCGUAACUAUAACGGUCCUAAGGUAGCGAAAUUCCUUGUCGGGUAAGUUCCGACCCGCACGAAAGGCGUAACGAUUUGGGCACUGUCUCAACGAGAGACUCGGUGAAAUCAUAGUACCUGUGAAGAUGCAGGUUACCCGCGACAGGACGGAAAGACCCCGUGGAGCUUUACUGUAGCCUGAUAUUGAAAUUCGGCACAGCUUGUACAGGAUAGGUAGGAGCCAUUGAAACGUGAGCGCUAGCUUACGUGGAGGCGUUGGUGGGAUACUACCCUAGCUGUGUUGGCUUUCUAACCCGCACCACUUAUCGUGGUGGGAGACAGUGUCAGGCGGGCAGUUUGACUGGGGCGGUCGCCUCCUAAAAGGUAACGGAGGCGCUCAAAGGUUCCCUCAGAAUGGUUGGAAAUCAUUCACAGAGUGUAAAGGCAUAAGGGAGCUUGACUGCGAGAC
rnacentral:rRNA from 1 species